rnacentral:rRNA from 1 species
AGCAGCCGCGGUAAUUCCAGCUCCAAUAGCGUAUAUUAAAGUUGUUGCAGUUAAAAAGCUCGUAGUUGAAUUUCGGGAUCAAUAUGUCGGUCGUGCCAUCGGUACGUACUGGUAUCAUUGGUUUCCCCCUUUCUGACGAACCAUGAUGUCAUUAAUUUGGUGUUAUGGGAAGUUAGGACUGUUACUUUGAAAAAAUUGAGUGUUUAAAGCAGGCUUUGGCUUGAAUACAUUAGCAUGGAAUAAUGAAAUAGGACGUUCGAACCUAUUUUGUUGGUUUCUAGGAUCAACGUAAUGAUUAAUAGGGAUAG